AAAAAAAAACUUAUCAGCAGACAGGAUAAUUCAACAAACGCUAGCACAACUCGGGGGUUAUAAAUUUUUUUUUUUAAAUUUAUAAGUUAGUAUAUUUUAUUUUUAUUUGUCCCUCUGUCUCCGUCUUUUUCCUCUCACCUCUCUUACUCCAAAAUAUUGAAGCUUGCAAAAGCCCUGAGCUGCAGCAGCAGAAGAAACAAAAACCCAAAAAGAAAAAGAAAAAAAGUUACUUGGUAGCUAGCACAAGUCAGGGUAUUAUAAUAUUAAAAGAUAAAAUAUUAUAUAUAUAUAUACACACACACACACUAUAUAUAUAUAUAUAUAGUGGUGAAUAGUUUGAGUUGAAAGCUAGCCAAAGCAGAUGCAACGGGCAGCUGGUGGAAGCAGCAGUGGCGGCGGAGAAGUGAGUCGGGGAGGCGGGCUCGGCCGGUUCUGCUCGGCGCCGGCGACAUGGUUAGAGGCACUGCUUGAGGAGGAAGAAGAAGACCCAUUGAAGCCCACCCAGUGCUUAACUGAGCUUCUUGCUGAAAACACAGGAGCCACAUCAGUAGGGUUUGGUUCUGCGACAGUGGAUCCAGUGUCGUAUGAAGCUGCCGCCGCUGCUGGAUUUCUUAGCCGACAGAACAGCUCUCCGGCGGAGUUUCUGGGGAGUUCGAACGACGGGUCGGAAGGGUAUUUCUCGGGGUUUGGAAUUCCGGCGCACCUCGACUUUGUGUCCUUGUCCCCAAAUAGCUCUUCUCCUUCUGCUAAUAAGAGGGUUAGGGAGGUGAAAUUGGAGGAAGGUGGAUUGGAGGAUGCAGUGCCUUGCAGGGUUAGGGCCAAGCGUGGAUGUGCUACGCAUCCUAGGAGCAUUGCUGAAAGGGUCCGGAGGACUCGAAUCAGUGACCGCAUAAGGAAGCUUCAAGACCUUGUGCCCAACAUGGAUAAGCAAACUAAUACUGCUGAUAUGUUAGACGAGGCAGUGGAGUAUGUGAAGUUUCUUCAGAAGCAGAUUCAGGAACUUUCAGAGCAUCAGCGCAGAUGCAAAUGCAUAGCUAAAGAAUAACCAGAAGAGGUGUCAUUAAUUUCAGUUACCUUCUUGCAUAGUGAUAUUGAGUUUCGAUGUGUAUGUUGUCUUGGCAAUAGAGGAGGAUUUCAGAUUUUGUAUCGUAAUCUAUUGGUUUCAUCCAUCCCAAGAGUUUCAUUAUGUUUGAUUACAACAUGUUCAUGAUCUACACAAUGAAGUCAGAAGGGUGAGCAUUUUUGCAUUUAAGGUUCACCAAUGCUUUAGUUUGAGCUGCACUGUCUUUAGGUUAUUUUGUGUGAAACGUAUAAUUUUGGAGCUUGAUGAUGAUUUCUGCAAACUGCAUCAUGAAAUUCCAGUGGUAUUGUAAUCUUUGUUGGAUUUGUCAGUUGAGAUAGGGCUCAAGUACAAGAUGAAUGAAUAACUUGUAAAUGUGGCAUUUCCCUGUCUG